CGCGUCGGUGCCGUGUUCUGUGACAGACUGGGCUGGCGCCGGACUGGCGGGUGCCCGCCGGUCUGUCACAGAGCACGGGACCGGCUGCAU
rnacentral:miRNA from 14 species